rnacentral:lncRNA from 1 species
AUGAUAGGACACAGCUGGAUAACCAGAAAGAGGAGCACGGAGGCCAUGGUAAUGCAGAGCAGCAGGUGGAGGGGGCCGAGAGGGGUGCUAGGCCGACCAUCAGGGAGUUCAAAAAGACCUGGAGCUUCAGGCGGACCGCGGUUGCCAGAAGAGAGCUUGUGCGAUUGGAUGAGAUUGAAGAUCCAGAAUCUCCGGCCCUACCCACACGUCAGGGUAGAGGCCGCCCAGCCCAGACCUAUUCAAGACGCGGGCGAGGGGGGAGAAGGAGCUCCCCGGCUGACCUGGAGCACACCGAGACAGGCUCCCCUACUCCAAUGGACACAGAGCCUGCCUCAGAGGCCCUAGAGCCCUGCUCAGGUGGCAGAUUAGACCCCUGCCCAGGUGGCAGAUUAGACCCCUCCUCUUGGCGGGACUUUGGAUCUGCAUUCCGCACGGCUUUUCCCUACUUUGGGAGAAGAAAGAGGAGGACAGGACCACGGCUGCCCCUGCCCAAAUUAUGGCUGCUCUUCCUAGCUAUGGGGGUAGUGGGGACAUGUAAGCUGCCUCCAGUAUAGAGGAGGACAGUGAUGAGCUGACCCUGAAGCAGCUUCAGGAGCGGCUGAGCAGUAGGGGGGGAGGUGAGGCCAGAGGCAGAGGGGUCAGAGGGAGAGGCAGGGUGAGGGGAAGGGGUAGAGGGAGAGGACGAGGGAGAGGUAAGGGGCGUGGGAGGGGUAGGAGGGUAGAGCCAGAGUCGAGCACUGCAGAUGAAGAAGCAGUGAUUUUUGUAAAUGAGUUGGAACAGCAGCAGGUGUAUCAGCCUCAGGAGGAGGAGAGGGAGCAGAGUCCUGAGGAGGCUGUUGUAGUGGUUGAACCGCAAAGCCUUUCUCCUUCUCAACAGUCCAGCUCCGAGUCUAUGCCUCUUGAAUCUGAUCCAGAGCCAGCGACAACAGAAGAAAAGCCCAGACAAUAAUGAUAAUGUAACAGAGGUGGAGAAGGAUGAGGUGGAGGAGGAGGAGAAGGACGAGGUGGAGGAGGAGGAGAAAGACGAGGAGAAGGACGAGGUGGAGGAGAGGAUUGAGGAAGAAAAGUCAGAGUAUUCUAGCAUAUCAGACAGUGAGGGCUACAAACCCCAUGCCCUUUACUGCAUCUGUCGACAGAGGCAGAAUAAAAGGUAUGUGUGUAGCGUUGUCUAGGACGAUAUUCACCUCUGAAAACAAGCAAGCCUAAUGUUGUUGGUAUAGCAGCACCACAUCUCAGCUCUUUCCCAUCUGCCAUACUCAUUAUUUGGGAUGGUUAUGGACUUUAGUUAAUUGCUGUUCUUUAGCUGUAAUUUUCUAGUGCCUACACUUUUUUUUUUCUUCCCUUUUUGGCAUUUUUUUCUUUCUUCUGCAUGUUGUGCUUGUUUCAUUUUGCAUGUUGUGCUUGUGUCAUUUUGCAUGUUGUGCUUGUUUAAU